CACAACCGAAGCUAAACAGCUUCUUCAAAGGGUUUCCGCCCUCCCUGGCCUACUUGGGCCUGUGCUCUCCUCUGCCCAGAUCCCCUUGUCCUUGGCAGUAGUAGGUGCUGUGGGGCGAUGAAUGCCCCAGCAGAGACCCUUUCCUGGGGAGGGGCUUUUUCUUUCUGACCCUGCAGAGGAACCGCUUUUAUCCUGCAUUGCCCACAGAGACAUUUUGUUUUGGCAGGUACUGGUAGAAGGUAGAAGAUCAGGAAACUGAGGCUCAGAGAGAUCCUGCCUCAGGAUGCAGUGUGCCAGAGGUAAGAUUCCCACCGAAGACUUCUAAGCUUGGAAAUCCAGUGUUUUAUCCACUAAACCACACUACUUCCUGUGUGUCUGGGACCAAGUAUUUCCAGUAACUUGAGAAAUCCUUAGAACAUCCAAAGCAGCUUAUCUGGCUGCAGCAAGGUGACAUGACUCAAACCAGUGAGGUAAGCCUGAACAGGAUGCAGUGUGCAGCUGUUAAGUUUCAUUGACUGGUUGGUGGUAGGAUGAACUUUUAGGAAACACAUUGGACUAAGACAAUGGAGUUCAAUCUUGUUCUUUUCAAAUGCUUCUUUAAUACUUUCAAAGUCCAUACAAGUGGCCACCAGAUGGAACCAUGAUUUAACGUCUUUGGAAAUAAUGGAGGCACACAUUUCUAGCUGCCAUAUUUUUGUGUAUAAACCACGAAUGUUUUUUCGACCCCUAUUUCAAACAUGGAAGAAGGAAGGAGACUGACAUGAUUCAUGGGAUUUGUUUGCCCCAAUAUGGCAAGCAUAUCAAAAAGAUGGCCUACCCCCUGUACAGAGAGGAAACCCCUUAGGACCUGCGGUUCCUUUGUUGAGAAGACACUCAAAUUGGGACGUUAACUGAAGACCCAAAAUAUUGUCAGUGGGUCCUUGAUGCCCACCGCUGAUGGUUUGUGAUUUAGAGGCUAAAGGGCCACUACUCAGGGGGAGCCAUUUUUUCAUAAACACAAUUGAAUGACAAUACAAUGAAUACCUUAGAUGGUUCCAAGUAGUCCUGGCUCUCUGGGACCCCACCAAUCUGAAACAUAUGGUGAAUUUGUUUUCAGUUGGGCCAUUUCCCCUGCUCACUCCAUGCAUUUGCUCCCAUGUUGCAAUUACAGCUUCUAAGUAUAAACCUCAAACGGAGGCUCUCCUGCAUUUGUGGUGAGCAUAUGGACAAAUGGAAAAUAAACAGCCCAAGGAAUUUCUGGCA
rnacentral:lncRNA from 1 species